CUCUCUCUCUCUCUAUGUAUAUAUAUAUUUGUAGCAGUGUAGAUGAUAUGAAGCUCUGUAAUUUGAAGCAGGUGAUGUCUGUAAGGGAGAUGUAGUUCUGUUCAGCCAGAAAGUUUAUGCGAAGUACCUUGUUAUCCCAUUUCUUGUUAUGUCAUUUUAUUUGUCUGAUGUUUAAUUUAAAUUUCAAUUCUGCUAGCUUUAAGCUUUAUAUAAAGUGAGGAUUUGAUUUAAAUCAGGUUUGAUAAAGUGAGAAGACAAGGGAAUCUUCUUGGGAAAAGAACUGUGGCUGGCAGGGUUGUAAAGGAAAGCUAUGGUUCAGCCAAACAGCAACAUACAUUUACAGUAAGGCUAACCCUGAUGGCAAAAAUUUUCACUUGACCCUUACGAUUUGUGCCCAAGAAAUCUAAUUUCACAGGAAUUUUUUUCCACAAAACAUUUUGGACCGUUUCGAAUGUGUAAUAGUUUGAGCCUUGGGCAAGGGUACAGUUCAGCUUCUACUGAUUGAUAUAUUUUGAUUGGUGAUUUUGAUGUACAAGGUUGAAGUACUGUGGAGCAAGGGGAUAAAGAAAUUGCCUCCACUUUUUCCUUUGCUUGUGAAAGGCCGAAACCUCUACAGAUUAAAAACUUUCAGACAGGUUAGUGGGCGGUGCUUACUUAUUAUCUAUGGAUUUAUCAUAUUAACAAGUUAGUCUUUUAUUUGUUUCCACAUCUACUUCCUAGCGUUGGAAUAAUGAAGUAGAAAGAGAAAUAGUCCUUGCUGAGAAGCACAAACGAGGUAGAGCUGCAAGACUUGUGAGAGCAAUGAAGAAAUCGAAGAAAAAACUGUCUGCAAAUGGUCGUUUGACUGGAGGUUGAUCUUGAAUUUCAUUCUUCUAAAGCAUUAAAGAUUGUUUGCCGCAUUUAAACUCUUGUAUUAUCAGAUGUGAAGCAUAAAAAAUGCUCCCAUCAUCAAAUGGGAUCGUUUCAAACAAGACAAUCGGCUGAACCAGCAACGAGGAAGCAUGCUUACGGGCACAAAAGAGAUAUGCUACAACAAUAUGUCAAAGUUAAUAAUCAUCAUCAAGAGGUUCCACCAUCUAGACAACUGAACUCGAAGAGAAAUAUCAGGUCAGAAGUUGGUUCUAAGACUACUUGGAGGCAUCAGAAACGGGGGCGCUUCAAUGUGGACAUUGACCCAGAUCUUCGCUCACAUACUUACACUCGCCAAGGUCCUUUCCCAUCACAAAUGGAACAUCAGCGUAAUGAACGAUUUCAUUUCUCUGGUCAUGAAAUGGGCUCCACUUCAACUAUGAUGAAGUUGCCUCCUUUGAGACGUUGAUACACUUUUGAUGACUGCUUUCCAACAUCAGGGGUUUAACCAUACGAAUGAUAUCUACCGUGCCCAUUCAAAACCUCACUACAACUUUGAAAGGCCAAAUUUAAAGCAUUUUUCUGAGUUGAUUAACGCUGAUAGGUCAUUUCAUCAAUUUUCUCAUGGAGUGGAGACAUAUGGACAGAGGACAGAAGGUUUUCAGUCUUUUAUCGUCGAUGUGUUGUGAGUCUCAUGUCCUAGACAUGGAAGCUGAUGAACCUCACUUCAAAUGAUGCGGACAAAGUGGAGAAAUGCAUGUAACGGUUACCUCCAAGUAGUCUUAGUUGGUAAGUCUUCUGCUCUCUUCGACAACACUUUAAUCACAAAUUCUUAAUGUGAAACUACAGUAUUACUUGUAUUGCGUCCAUCUUUUAAUGGUGUAGAAUUCAGGUUGAGAGAGAAUGUGUGAUACCAUAAACUGCCUUUGGAGUUCAUUUUCUGGUGAAGUAUAUGAUGGUUGCAUAUAUGGAAUAUGGAUGGCCAAAAGCCAACAACUGUGAUUAUUGAUGGAUUUUGCUGUCUUAGGCAGAAGCAAAUAUUAUUAUCACUGGUGAAAUUAUUAGCUUGCUCUCUUUCCAACAACCACGUUGAGAGCCUAGCCACAAGGUAAGUUUUGCCCUACACUGAAGGAGGCGCUGCUGUGUGUGGUAGCAUAAAGGCAUGGACUUUAGUUUUCAUGGGCUUUUGAAAAAUUAGAGCACUUGUGAUGCCAUUUAUCCAUUUCCUAUAGUCCAUUGCAUUGAUUUGGAGUGGUCCAUUAUAAAUCAUUGAGAAUAAUGUUUUUCUAUAAAUUUUAUUUUAUUAAGAAAA
rnacentral:misc_RNA from 1 species